UUGCACGCUGGCGGCAUGCUUUACACAUGCAAGUCGAACGGCAGCGCGGGGCAACCUGGCGGCGAGUGGCGAACGGGUGAGUAAUAUAUCGGAACGUACCCAGAAGUGGGGGACAACGUAGCGAAAGUUACGCUAAUACCGCAUACGAUCUACGGAUGAAAGUAGGGGACCGCAAGGCCCUAUGCUUUUGGAGCGGCCGAUAUCUGAUUAGCUAGUUGGUGAGGUAAAGGCUCACCAAGGCGACGAUCAGUAGCUGGUCUGAGAGGACGACCAGCCACACUGGAACUGAGACACGGUCCAGACUCCUACGGGAGGCAGCAGUGGGGAAUUUUGGACAAUGGGCGCAAGCCUGAUCCAGCAAUGCCGCGUGAGUGAAGAAGGCCUUCGGGUUGUAAAGCUCUUUUGUCAGGGAAGAAACGGUAGAGGCUAAUAUCCUUUGCUAAUGACGGUACCUGAAGAAUAAGCACCGGCUAACUACGUG
rnacentral:rRNA from 1 species